UCUCCUCAUGAUCUCUUUCAAUUCUUUUUUAUACUUCACCCUCCUCUUCAUUUUAUAUGACAUGUUUGACUAAAAUUGGACUUUAAGAAAAAAGGACUUCUUGCACUUACCAAAAGUCCCCUUUAGAACUUAUGGUUUUUAAACAUGGCAUUGACAUUUCUAUGUCUAUAAGAGCAUGUCAUUAAGGGUAAAAUGGAAAGUUCAAAGUUAAAGAGUUUCCAAAAAUAGAAAAGUGUCAUUCUUUUUUAGAACAGACUAAAAGGAGAGGACGUCAUAUAAAAUGGAACAGCAGGAGUACUUCUUUUAAAGGGAAAAGGGAAAAAAUAAGCAACAAAGUCUUUGUGUUAACUUGUCUAUUACAUGAGAUGAAUGACAGCAUACUAGCUGUGGUAGUGAUAAUGGUUCAUGACAUUUCAAUUUCUUGCAAGUCAUUGAGUGCUAGAUGUAUAAGCCCUUUGCUCAAGACUGAAUGCACUAAUUCACGAUUAGAUGUUCUGAUGAUUUCGGAUUAGGAAUAUGUGAUUAUCUUGCUGGCUGCUCUCUUAUUUGACAUUUAUACUGAUAAAGUAAUAAUAUCUUAUUAUUGAUUGCUUAUAUAAGUGGUUCUAACACGUUAUAUUCUGGUUUUGGAUUUUUACUUUGGCAGAGCAAACUGGGAAGAUGGUACUUUAGAACGGAAACGUUGACACUGCCUAUGAAGAGAACAUGUUUCCUCUGUUUGUAACAGAACAACUCUUGGCCUGAGAAAGAGACUCAUGAAAAAACUUGAUGAAUGUGCGUGAAGCCAGAGAACUUUGCCAAAAUGGGUGCAUGAAAGAGGCCGUAGAGCUAUUAGUAAGUCGCUAAACAUCACUGAGCAAGCGGACCAAAGGGGAAUUAUUUCCUGGAAUAGAACGUACCUCCAGUGGUAGAGCAACUAUUCUUCCUUUGGCAUGUAGAGAUCGAGAAGCGUAGACUCCAUUGAUAUCCACUGUCAAAUCUAAAUGCUAGAAGUAGUUUAUGAAUA